CUGAAGCUGAGUUAGGAAGUUGGAAGAAGCAGGGAAAAUCAUAAAAAGAGAGAGACACAGCGAGAGAGGAAACACAAGCCCAGGGAGUCUGAAAGGGAGAAGGCGGCUUCCCUCUGAGCAGGGAACCCAACGCAGGGCUCAGUCCCAGGACUCUGGGAUCAUGACCUGAGCCGAAGGCAGACGCCUAACAAC
rnacentral:lncRNA from 1 species